AAGCAUAUCACUAAGCGGAGGAAAAGAAACUAACCAGGAUUCCCUUAGUAACGGCGAGUGAACAGGGAAGAGCCCAGCACCGAAGCCUUUGGUCGUUUGAUCACUAGGCAAUGUGGUGUUUAGGUUGGUACUGCGAAGUCAUUACACCGCUCAAAGUCCUGUUAUGAAUACGGUUUUAUGGACUUAGCCCACAGAGGGUGAAAGGCCCGUGUGAGCUCGUAAGUGACUUCCUGAACUGACCUUGGAGUCGGGUUGUUUGAGAAUGCAGCCCAAAGAGGGUGGUAAACUCCAUCCAAGGCUCAAUACUGGCACGAGUCCGAUAGCAAACAAGUACCGUGAGGGAAAGUUGAAAAGUACUCUGAAGAGAGAGUAAACAGUACGUGAAGCCGCUCGGAGGUUAAACGGGUAGAGUUGAACUGCAAGCCCUGGAGAUUCAGCUGGCGAAUGUGACAUGAGCUUGGUUAUUACGACCGGCUGUGAAGGUCUGCUUAACUGCGGGUUACUGCCUUUGGGUGGUGAUAUGCGAUACACUUUCCAUGUGUUGCGUGCCUUUGCUGACCGGGUCAGUUCGUCAGUGCAUUUCUUCAGGGUCUUCACCACGACCGACGCAGCUGUCGGCCUACUAUGCAAAUGGCAGGUAGCUCAUUGGUCUCGGCCUACGAGUGUAAUAGCCAUGUGUGGUAGUGCUGUGCAGUGUGUUGGAGACGGCGGCAUGUAACAGAGCCCAUAGUCUGUGGUGUAGUGGUAAGCUCUCUACCCGACCCGUCUUGAAACACGGACCAAGGAGUUUAACAUGUGCGCGAGUCAUUGGGUACACGAAACCUACAGGCGCAGUGAAAGUGAAUGUCUGGCUUCGGCUGGACUGAGGUGAGAUCUGGCCGUUUCUCAUGCGUGGUACUACCAAGUAUUCGAUCGGUCGGCGCAUCACCGGCCCGUCCCAUGGUGUGGUCAUGGUCCUUCGGGGCUGUGCGUCACCGGGGCGGAGCAUGAGCGCACAUGUCGAGACCCGAAAGA
rnacentral:rRNA from 1 species